AGCUUUCUGAAACUGUGCUGAGUAUUCGACAGACAUCAACCCAUUAGGACUGAUGAAACUUGGAAGAUAAGUGAAGCA
rfam:Schistosoma rodhaini strain Burundi genome assembly, scaffold: SROB_contig0001893